rnacentral:rRNA from 1 species
AACGAACGCUGGCGGCAUGCCUAACACAUGCAAGUCGAACGAGACCUUCGGGUCUAGUGGCGCACGGGUGCGUAACGCGUGGGAACCUGCCCUUAGGUUCGGAAUAACUCCCCGAAAGGGGUGCUAAUACCGGAUAAUGUCUUCGGACCAAAGAUUUAUCGCCUUUGGAUGGGCCCGCGUUGGAUUAGCUAGUUGGUAGGGUAAAAGCCUACCAAGGCGACGAUCCAUAGCUGGUCUGAGAGGAUGAUCAGCCACACUGGGACUGAGACACGGCCCAGACUCCUACGGGAGGCAGGAGUGGGGAAUAUUGGAAAAUGGGCGAAAGCCUGAUCCAGCAAUGCCGCGUGAGUGAUGAAGGCCUUAGGGUUGUAAAGCUCUUUUACCCGGGAUGAUAAUGACAGUACCGGGAGAAUAAGCGCCGGCUAACUCCGUG